rnacentral:misc_RNA from 1 species
UGGACGCCAUGUGCAGGAGCUCGGCUGCAGGGGGGACGCGCCCAUGGGGAAGAGGAGGAGCUGCAGCUCGCCUACACCCUUGGAGCCGAGGAGAGGAAGGGCGCCAUGGGGGGCUCUGUGUCCUGCUGCAAGCGCCAUGGGAGAGGCUUGCUGCCGUGGAGGUUGUCGGCUGGAGCAGAGGGGCGAGAGGAACUCGUCUGCGCCAAGGAAGGGAGCAGGGAGCGCCAGGGUUGGGUGCUCGGCUGCUCAAGCCUCGUCGGUGCCAUGGGAGGAAGGGAAGGAAGCUCCCUGCGCGUUGGGGAAGAAGGCGUGGGGGAGAAAAGGCU